rnacentral:rRNA from 1 species
GAUGAACGCUGGCGGCGUGCCUAAUACAUGCAAGUCGAGCGAACGGACGAGAAGCUUGCUUCUCUGAUGUUAGCGGCGGACGGGUGAGUAACACGUGGAUAACCUACCUAUAAAACUGGGCUCACUUCGGGAAACCGGAGCUAAUACCGGAUGAUAUUUUGAACCGCAUGGUUCAAAAGUGAAAGACGGUCUUGCUGUCACUUAUAGAUGGAUCCGCGCUGCGUUAGCUAGUUGGUAAGGUAACGGCUUACCAAGGCAACGAUGCAUAGCCGACCUGCUAGGGUGACCGACCACCCUGGCACUGAGACACGGUCCCGACUCCUAGGGGAGGCAGCAGAAGGGACUCUGCCGCAAUGGGCGAAAGCCUGACGUGGCAACGCCGCGUGAGUGAUGACGGUCUUCGGAUCGUAAAACUCUGUUAGUAGGGAAGAACAGAUGUGUGAGUAACUGUGCACAUCUGGACGGUACCUAAUCAGAAAGCCACGGCUAACUACGGG